rnacentral:rRNA from 1 species
CGAGUGAGCGGCAAAGCUCAAAUUUGAAAUCUAGGCACCUUUCAGAGUCCGAGUUGUAAUUUGAAGAAGGUAUCUUUGGGUCUGGCUCUUGUCUAUGUUUCUUGGAACAGAACGUCACAGAGGGUGAGAAUCCCGUGCGAUGAGAUGAUCCAGGCCUAUGUAAAGUUCCUUCGAAGAGUCGAGUUGUUUGGGAAUGCAGCUCUAAGUGGGUGGUAAAUUCCAUCUAAAGCUAAAUAUUGGCGAGAGACCGAUAGCGAACAAGUACAGUGAUGGAAAGAUGAAAAGAACUUUGAAAAGAGAGUGAAAAAGUACGUGAAAUUGUUGAAAGGGAAGGGCUUGAGAUCAGACUUGGUAUUUUGUAUGUUACUUCUUCGGGGGUGGCCUCUACAGUUUAUCGGGCCAGCAUCAGUUUGGGCGGUAGGAGAAUUGCGUUGGAAUGUGGCACGGCUUCGGUUGUGUGUUAUAGCCUUCGUCGAUACUGCCA